rnacentral:pre_miRNA from 1 species
AAUAUACUCCCUCUGUCCCAUAUUAAGUGACUUUCUAUUACAUGUAUCUAGACGUUUUUAGGCAUAGAUACAUCCAUAUUUGGACAAAUUUGAGUCACUUAAUAUGGGACGGAGGGAGUAGUUG